rnacentral:rRNA from 1 species
GAUGAACGCUAGCGGCAGGCCUAAUACAUGCAAGUCGAACGGGCGGUAGCAAUACCGCUAGUGGCGCACGGGUGCGUAACGCGUAACCAACCUGCCCAGAUCUGGGGGAUAGCCCGCCGAAAGGCGGAUUAAUACCGCAUAAACCCACAGUGUGGCAUCACAUAAUGGGUAACGAUUUAUCGGAUCUGGAUGGGGUUGCGUAGCAUUAGCUAGUUGGCGGGGUAAUGGCCCACCAAGGCGACGAUGCUUAGGGGACCUGAGAGGGUGAUCCCCCACACUGGCACUGAGAUACGGGCCAGACUCCUACGGGAGGCAGCAGUAGGGAAUAUUGGGCAAUGGGCGAGAGCCUGACCCAGCCAUGCCGCGUGCCGGAUGAAGGCCUUCUGGGUUGUAAACGGCUUUUCUCAGGGAAGAAAACGGGGAUGCGUCCUCAACUGACGGUACCUGAGGAAUAAGCACCGGCUAACUCCGUG